GGUUCCGGUAGCUCAGCGGUAGAGCGACAGAUUGCAAAAUGCAUAUAUCUGUAGGUCGCGAGUUCAAGUCUUGCCCGGAACU
rnacentral:tRNA from 1 species